rnacentral:rRNA from 1 species
AUAAUAUAAGAUUUAACCUGCCCACUGAUUAAAUUGAAUGGCCGCGGUAUUUUGACCGUGCAAAGGUAGCAUAAUAAUUAGUUUUUUGAUUGGAAACUGGAAUGAAUGGUUGGACGAGAAAAUUACUGUCUCUUUUUAAUUUAUGUUGAAUUUAAUUUUUAAGUUAAAAAGCUUAAAUUUUUAUGAAAGACGAGAAGACCCCAUAGAGUUUAAUAUAUUUAUAUAUCUUUUUUAUUAGGAAUAAUUUUAAAUUAGAUGGGAAAGUAUAUUUUGUUGGGGUGACAGGAAGAUUAAAUUAACUCUUUUUAUUAUAAACAAUAAUUUUUGAAUAUUUGAUCCGUUUUUUACGAUUAUAAGAUUAAAUUACCUUGGGGAUAACAGCGUAAUCUUUUUAGAGAGUUCUUAUUGAAAUAAAGGGUUGCGACCUCGAUGUUGGAUUAAAAUUAAUUUUUGGUGCAGUAGCUAAAAUAUUGAGUCUGUUCGACUUUUAAAAUUUUACAUGAUCUGAGUUUAAACCGGUGUGAGCCAGGUUGGUUUCUAUCUUUAUAGAUUUAUAAUAUUUUAGUACGAAAGGACCAA